AGAGUUUGAUCCUGGCUCAGGACGAACGCUGGCGGCGUGCCUAAUACAUGCAAGUCGAGCGAGCUUGCCUAGAUGAUUUUAGUGCUUGCACUAAAUGAAACUAGAUACAAGCGAGCGGCGGACGGGUGAGUAACACGUGGGUAACCUGCCCAAGAGACUGGGAUAACACCUGGAAACAGAUGCUAAUACCGGAUAACAACACUAGACGCAUGUCUAGAGUUUGAAAGAUGGUUAUGCUAUCACUCUUGGAUGGACCUGCGGUGCAUUAGCUAGUUGGUAAGGUAACGGCUUACCAAGGCAAUGAUGCAUAGCCGAGUUGAGAGACUGAUCGGCCACAUUGGGACUGAGACACGGCCCAAACUCCUACGGGAGGCAGCAGUAGGGAAUCUUCCACAAUGGACGAAAGUCUGAUGGAGCAACGCCGCGUGAGUGAAGAAGGGUUUCGGCUCGUAAAGCUCUGUUGGUAGUGAAGAAAGAUAGAGGUGGUAACUGGCUUUUAUUUGACGGUAAUUACUUAGAAAGUCACGGCUAACUACGUGCCAGCAGCCGCGGUAAUACGUAGGUGGCAAGCGUUGUCCGGAUUUAUUGGGCGUAAAGCGAGUGCAGGCGGUUCAAUAAGUCUGAUGUGAAAGCCUUCGGCUCAACCGGAGAAUUGCAUCAGAAACUGUUGAACUUGAGUGCAGAAGAGGAGAGUGGAACUCCAUGUGUAGCGGUGGAAUGCGUAGAUAUAUGGAAGAACACCAGUGGCGAAGGCGGCUCUCUGGUCUGCAACUGACGCUGAGGCUCGAAAGCAUGGGUAGCGAACAGGAUUAGAUACCCUGGUAGUCCAUGCCGUAAACGAUGAGUGCUAAGUGUUGGGAAGGUUUUCCCCCCCUCGUGCUGCAGCUAACGCAUAAGGCACUCCGCGUGGGGAGUACGACCCCAAGGUUGAAACUCAAAGGAAUGAUCGAGGGCCCGCACAAGCGAUGGAGCAUGUGGUUUAAUUCGAAGCAACACGAAGAACCUUGCCAGGUCUUGACAUCCAGUGCAAACCUAAGAGAUUAGGUGUUCCCUUCGGGGACACUGAGACAGGUGGUGCAUGGCUGUCGUCAGCUCGUGUCGUGAGAUGUUGGGUUAAGUCCCGCAACGAGCGCAACCCUUGUCAUUAGUUGCCAUCAUUAAGUUGGGCACUCUAAUGAGACUGCCGGUGACAAACCGGAGGAAGGUGGGGAUGACGUCAAGUCAUCAUGCCCCUUAUGACCUGGGCUACACACGUGCUACAAUGGACGGUACAACGAGAAGCGAACCUGCGAAGGCAAGCGGAUCUCUUAAAGCUGUUCUCAGUUCGGACUGUAGGCUGCAACUCGCCUACACGAAGCUGGAAUCGCUAGUAAUCGCGGAUCAGCACGCCGCGGUGAAUACGUUCCCGGGCCUCGUACAAAGCGCCCGUCA
rnacentral:rRNA from 1 species